UCAAGCUACUAAGGGCAUACGGCGGAUGCCUAGGCGCCAUCAGCCGAUGAAGGACGCGGUAAGCUGCGAAAAGCUACGGGGAACUGCAAGCAAGUAUUGAUCCGUAGAUGUCCGAAUGGGGAAACCCACCUGCCGUCAUGGGCAGGUAUCCGAAAGGAAGGGAACCCGGGGAACUGAAACAUCUAAGUACCCGGAGGAAGAGAAAUCAAACGAGAUGCCCACAGUAGCGGCGAGCGAAGAGGGCAGAGGGCAAACCGGUGAGCUACGGCUCGCCGGGGUUGAGGACUGCAUUUAGUCUCAAUGGUCUAUCCGAACUACCUGGAAAGGUAGGCAAUACAGUGUAAAAGCCACGUAGGUUAAAGACCGGAGAGAUGAGCAGUAUCCAGAGUACCACGAGGCACGAGGAAUCUUGUGGGAAGCCGGGGGGACCACCCUCCAACCCUAAACACUGAAUGGCGACCGAUAGCGCAUAGUACCGUGAGGGAAAGGUGAAAAGAACCCCGGGAGGGGAGUGAAAGAGAACCUGAAACCGUAUGUCUACAAGCAGUCGGAGCGAAAGCGACGGCGUGCCUAUUGAAGAAUGAACCAACGAGUUACGUGCACUAGCGAGGUUAAGUGGAAGACACGGAGCCGAAGCGAAAGCGAGUCUUAAGAGGGCGGAUAGUUAGUGUACGUAGACCCGAAACCGCAGUGAUCUACCCAUGUCCAGGUUGAAGCGCAGGUAAAAUUGCGUGGAGGACCGAACCUGUGAGCGUUGAAAAGCUUUAGGAUGAGAUGUGGGUAGAGGUGAAAUUCCAAUCGAACGCGGAGAUAGCUGGUUCUCCCCGAAAUAGCUUUAGGGCUAGCCUCAAGUAGUAAGUAUAGGCGGUAGAGCACUGAUCGGGCUAGGGGCCAUAAAGGUUACCGAACCCUGUCAAACUCCGAAUGGUUAUACUGUAGAGCUUGGGAGUCAGACUACGAGUGAUAAGAUCCGUGGUCAAAAGGGAAACAGCCCAGACCACCAGCUAAGGUCCCCAAUGUCGUACUAAGUGGAAAAGGAUGUGGGGUCUCUAAAACAACCAGGAUGUUGGCUUAGAAGCAGCCACCAUUUAAAGAGUGCGUAAUAGCUCACUGGUCGAGAGACCCUGCGCCGAAGAUUACCGGGGCUAAAGUACGAAACCGAAGCUGUGGCUACGACAUAUGUCGUGGGGUAGGGGAGCGUUCUGUGAGGGCUGAAGUCGUUCUGUAAGGAACGGUGGACUUCACAGAAGUGAGAAUGUUGGUAUGAGUAGCGAAAAGAAUGGUGAGAAUCCAUUCCACCGAAAGCAUAAGGAUUCCUGGGCAACGAUCGUCGUCCCAGGGUAAGUCGGGACCUAAUCCGAGGCAUGGAGCGUAGGAGAUGGACAACUGGCAGAUAUUCCAGUACCGGUAAUGAUUGUUUGAGCGAUGGAGUGACACAGGAGGGCAGGCAGGCAGGAGAUUGGUUGUUCCUGUACAAGCGUGUAGGAUGGGACGCAGGCAAAUCCGCGUCCUGUGAGUCUGAGGCGUGAUGUGGAGGUUCCGGAAACGGAACUGAAGCUGCUGACCCCACACUGUCGAGAAAAGCUUCUAGUUAGAGAAUUACCGCCCGUACCGUAAACCGACACAGGUAUGCGGGGAGAGAAUCCUAAGGUGCGCGGGAGAACCCUCGUUAAGGAACUCGGCAAAAUGUACCCGUAACUUCGGGAUAAGGGUAGCCGCUGUUGUGAAGUCUGAACAGACGGAGCAUGAGGCGGUCGCAGAGAAGAGGCCCAAGCGACUGUUUACCACAAACACAGGUGCCUGCUAAAGAGAAAUCUGACGUAUAGGUGCUGACACCUGCCCAGUGCCGGAAGGUUAAGGAAGGAUGUCCGGAGCAAUCCAAAGCAUUCGACCGAAGCCCCGGUGAACGGCGGCCGUAACUAUAACGGUCCUAAGGUAGCGAAAUUCCUUGUCGGGUAAGUUCCGACCCGCACGAAAGGUGU
rnacentral:rRNA from 1 species